AUUCCAGCUCCAAUAGCGUAUAUUAAAGUUGUUGCAGUUAAAAAGCUCGUAGUUGGAUUUCUGGUGGGAGCACGGGUCGGCCUUCACGGGUUGUACUGUUGUUGCGUCCUGCCGUUUCGGAGGGAAUGGUCAUGUUAUUAGGUUAGCGUGAUCGGAAACUCUGUCGUUUACUGUGAAAAAAUUAGAGUGUUCAAAGCAGGCCUUCGCUGUGAAUACAUUAGCAUGGAAUAAUAAGAUAGGACUGUAGUGCUAUUUUGUUGGUUUGCGUACUAUGGUAAUGAUUAAUAGGGAUAGUUGGGGGUAUUCAUAUUCAAUUGUCAGAGGUGAAAUUCUUGGAUUUAUGGAAGAUGAACUACUGCGAAAGCAUUUACCAAGGAUGUUUUCAUCG
rnacentral:rRNA from 1 species